rnacentral:misc_RNA from 1 species
UGAAAUGUCUGUGAUGACCAUUUCAAAAUUAUGUAAUGUGAAUGCUGCAACCACAGGGGGGGGGCGGAGACGCCCCCCCCCUUUUAAAAAUAAAAACGAUCAAAUCAAGUACAAACUUGAUUUGAUAAAACCAAAAACCCCAAAUACAAUUGGGUUUUUGAAAAGAAUGGACGACAUAAAACGUCCAAAUAUGGGAACUACGGCUUUAGAUCCUCUAUUCGGGUGGUUCAGAUUACCUCGCAACGUAAAUUGUAGAAUGAACAAGAACAAGUUUAUCACCGACUUCGACAACUUAUUUGAGCAUUACAAAGGAAAGAAAUUCCAUACAUGUAAAGAAGUCAGUGUAGUUUGCGUAGAAGCUAUGAGGGGAGAGUUACAAUUAAAAGAGAGACACUACGGUAUCGCUCAAUCAUUUUCACCACAGGAUGAGAGAUUAAGCAAAUUUUGUGUUAAAAAUAUGUCAUUUGGUUUAAUUACACGAUUACUAUAUUUAAUUUAUGUGAAAGGAGCUGAAAUCUACAUUGAUCCGACAGUAAAUGUCGAUAAUUUACUCAAAACCAUGAGCCAUGUAAUUAAAAAGAAGGAUAAUUCUAUGGAAGAGGAAUUUGAAGAAGAAGAAGAUUUCGAGGAAAUGGACUUAGACGAUAUGGGAUAUUUGGAUGAUAACAUAAAAGAAAAAGGAGAAUAUUUCGAAAUAGUACCAUUUGGUAAAGGAAAUUGCACUGAAAAAUUGCUAAAAGCCAUAAAAUUUCAAAUGAAACUGUUCAAAGGGUUGUUUAACUAUAUGUAUCAUCACAUCAUCAAUUUCAAAGAUGUAAACGAAGGUUUCGUAGAAAUAAAAGGAACAAGAGACGAGGAAGAUAAUUCUAUGAAUUAUGAAUCAUCCUCAGGCAAAUUACCUCCCAUUAAAUUUUGUCCAUUGUGCUCGUGCCCUAAUGCAUAUACCCAAAUACCUAGACGAAUGAAAACUUGUCACUAUAGUGUUAAAAAAUAUUACCCUAACAAUAAAACCAUUGAUGACAAAUUUGAGACAAAAGUUAAAGAUGGUGAGGUGAUGAAAGAAAUACCUUGGAGGUGUGGUGUAUGUUAUACGGACCUGAAUUUAGAAAUAGAAGAGUUUAGGCAAGCAAAUGUUAUCAUAGAUAUAAUUAUAACAGAGAGCCUAUAUGUGUUGAUGGGUGAUUUAGAAAAUUUGAUGAAAUUAGGUUACACUGACACAUAUGAUGACUUGAAAAAUACUGAUAAAGAAAAUAUUAGACAACACGAUAAAAUCUUGGUUAACGAGUAUUUUUUCCAUUUACAGAAGCGAAUUGUCACAGUUGGUCAAGAUUUAGAUCCUAUAAUUAAUGAAAACGUAAAGAAAAUUACAAAAGGAGUGAAUUUUAGGUAUGAUAGCAAGUUUAAUAGCGUCAAACCAGAGUUUGUCUGCGAAUUAUCGGUUUGCAGAGAAGAGAUCAAAUCGCAUUUGAGGUCUGAUGCUAUCGCUUGUAUAGGUGAUUUAUUACCAAGAACUGACGACAUUAAGUUCCAUCAAUGGAAAUACAAUGAUUGGUUAUUUGAGCCGAAUAAUUUCGAUGGAUGCUGUGACGUCGAUUGUUGCAACCAUAAUGAAAAAUUCGUAUGUUUCUUAGGUAUGGGAGCAUUAACAUUAAGCUUACCACAAAUUUUAGGAAUUGUAAAUAAACAGCGCCAAUUGUAUGCUGUUGUCCCUAGAUUUAAGGACAACAAAUGUCUCAGGGAUAACACUGGCACAGUAAUUACUGAAGGGGAUAAUACCAUGCUGUUUUUAGAUGGGUGUACAAAUCCAUUGUUGAUGAAAACUGACACUAUAGAAACACUUUGUCAAUUCAAUACCAUUGUGAAUAAAGGUGUGUAUUAUAUUAUCAAUAAGGUGUUUGACUUGGAAUUAUGUAGCACUAUAUGUAUAUUGGGUCCUUACACAGAUGUGAAUGCUUUACCAGAUGAAAAAAUCAUCAAAGAUGACAAUAUUAUCACAACGAUAACCUUACCACAUAUUGACUCCCUGAUGGGGAGGAUAAUAAGUGUGAAUUUUAGGCCCUGCACGUUUAACCCUCACACAUCCAUAUUUAAAUAUUUAUGUCUCCGCCAUUUGUCUGGCCAAGUAUCUCACAACACUUUGAAGCCAUAUGCAGUAGGCUUUGCAUUGCGUCCAAUUGUUGUGCACAAUAAAGUUGUAUCCCAUCCCAGUGUUAUGUUCGAAAUGAUAGAUAUUCCUGUCCUAUUAUCCCGAAUUUGCAUGAUGCAAUUGAAAAUGGAAUAUGAUCUCAGCAUAAAAUACAGCGACAAAACCAAGUAUUUAGGACCAUUAAGAUGGAUGCCAAAAGAAUUCGAAGGUUUAACCACUAGGUAUGUGAUUAAUGUUAUAGUGGAAUAUUUAACAGACAAAUUUAGUGUUACAGAGGGGGAUAUAAUGAAAGUUUUUGAGAGCACACACCUGGCUGCUUUCAUAACAAAAUUACAUGAUAACCACUUGUGGACCGCAUUAUUAAAACUAAGCAAAGGGAUCACUACGGAGAGACUCAAUGUCAGGAAUCUAGGUGAUACAGAUUGUGAAGCAUUAAGCAACAAUAUCCAUAGAUGCUUUCAUCACAAUCAAGAUUGUAUUCAUGAUCUCCACUCAACUGAAUUAGUAUGCAAAUGUUGCGGUGUUUCUAUAGAGUUAGGAUUGCUAUGCAAAUGUUGUAGGGGUACAACUCCUAUCACAGCCUUCCAAAUUGAUCAACAAAUUAGGAAAGAAGUUGAUGAUGAGAAUGAAGUUUACAAACACAGAUUUCAAGAAUUGGAAACCAAAGCUAAAGAGAUCAGAUCUAAGAUUGAUCACAAUGAAUUACAGUGGCCCGCACUGAGACCCAAACCAAGAACAGUUAAAUUUCAACCAGCAUCAAAACCUAGAAUUGCCAAAUCUCUGACUUCACAAGCGCCCACUGACAAAUUGCAACCAACAAAAAAUAUUGAGGAAAUAAUAGAGAAGAAAGAUAAAACACUAACCACAAUUAGUAAUUUGAGCGAAUUCAAAGCAUUACUGGAUGAUAACACACGCAAGAUCCAAAUUGUGGAUGAUUAUGAUACAGAUGCUAACCAAGAAGGAGUGCAAGUGGUGCACACAGAAAAAGGCAAACAAGAUGUCAGAACCGAAGAAAUUAAAAAGGAAGAGCAAACAGUUACAACUAAGACUGACGAUUUGCAAAGGGAGACAACAGACAUAACCAUUAAAAAGGGUGCAGAAGAUUUAGAUUUAGCUGGGGAAGGCUGGAGACAAAUGUUCUCAAAAUUUGCCAAGAAUAUUGUACCAAGUGUUCGCAAGAGAAUUACUAGAUUAUCCAAUGAUGCUCAUGAGUUAUUAUUAGCUGACAAUAAAGAGAAAGCUUUAACACGUUUGAAAUACGAUUUUUAUUCUCACGUGACUGACCCUGUUGAAUUUGAAGCUAAAUUAAAUGACAAGCAUUCCACAAUGUACACAAUGCCACAUAUAGCGGUCGGAUUUGUCGCCUGGCAGCAAGAUGAAUUUGAAGUAGUUGAAACAAUCUCACUACCUAAUUCCAGUUUUAACUCAUGUGGCUAUGAGGCUUUUAAUUAUUCUCUUGAUAAACCAAUACCGUGGGCUGAUUUUGUGUCUAUAACUGGCACAGAUAAGAAUUGGUCAGAUUUGGCUCUGAUGGAUCUAGCGGCUGACCUGGGUAUUAACAUAAUCAUGGUUGAACCCAGGGGCACAUUCGUGAGCAAGAGCAAUCCAGAUUGUGAUGAUUUUAUGUGCAUCCAUUAUGAUUUACCAUUGCCAGAUGAAAGCGAAAAGUUAAUUGAUACAGUAAGCAACAGAAUAGGUCAUUUCUCACCAUGCAUCAUACGCAGAAUCAGAAGAGGUGGAACAUAUUAUGUUCAUGACUUAAAUCAAAACAUCAAUGACAGAAAUAAAAUAAUACAAACUAGACUUGGUCCACAUAAUAAUUGUAAUAGGGCUCCUGAUAUCACUGGAGAUGAGAACAUUCUAUGUGAGCUUAUAUUCAAUUUACAUAUAUCGGAAGAUUUAUCUGAUAGCAUAUCGAGAUUUCCAACAGUUUAUGAAUUGGACGGAAAGAUGUACAUAAGUAACAACCCGGAUACAAAAUUGUUAAAAUGGGAAACCAAUCUUAUACAUGUGGAGAUUCGUAAUGAAUAUCAUAAUCUGGUUGAUAAAAUAGCAUCUGCCUUAGAAGGAUCUUUGAAACUUUCUGAGUUACCAGAGAUGAGACAUAAAAGUUCAGAAUUGCCUAAUGAAAUGGAAAGUGAAAUAGCAGAAGAGAUCAUGGAGGUUUUAAGGACCUUCUCUAGAAUAAAUUCAAUGUUUAAUGAUAAAUUGAACGCAGCAUUGAUUAAGGAUUCCAAAGAUUGUCGUGUCAUCCCAUGGUACGGCAGAAGUAAAAUAAUAUUUGAGAAAAAAUUUAAUCAUAAACUAAAGAAAUUUGACACGUUAUGUUUGAAACAAGGUAAAGAAUUGUAUAAAUGUGAAGUAACCAACUUCAGUGAGGGAGAUCCAGUUGUAAAUUUAGAAUUAUACAGUGAACAAAGAUUCAAAGUUAUGAUUUUAAAAGAGUCAUCAGGAAGCGCAAUAAAGUCAUUAGUCAGUUUGAUGGCCGAUCACGUGACAAUGACAGAAUUCAAAGAAAUAUUGAAAAGAUCCAGUUUAACCCUGGGACCAGCUGGUUAUGGAAAAUCAACUAUGAUUUCUCAAGAGAUAACAAGUGGAGAUUUAUGUGUUGCUAUGACCAGAUCAUCUGUAAUGAGUAUCGAGGAGAAAAUAAAGGAUAAACAUGUUACUGUAUGUUCUCUGGAGAAAGCAUCAUGUAGUAUGAUGAAGUGUGCAAACACAAUAUUUGUCGACGAAGCAACAAUGGUAGAUUGGCUCAGAUUGGCACUAUUAUGUGAACGACCCACCACAUUGAAGUUGUACGGUAGUGAGAGUCAAGUGGGGGCUGUGGAUAUGAGCCCAACUCCUGGCAUGAGGCAUGUGAUGAGAAUACAAGAUCUAUUAUUAGACCAUCAAGUAAAUAGGUUUAACACUACUACUAACAGAAUCGGUGAAGAACUAGCUACUUUUAUAAGACCUAUGGAACUCAAGUUAGUUUCACUUGCAAAGCACAAAACCACAUACAAUGUAACAGUGUUGGAGGACGCAGACUUCGAACGAUUACCAAUAAUGGUUAACCGUUGCAACCCCGAUGUAAUUAUAACACCAUACAAUUAUAAUAGACAAAGAAUUGAAGCCAUGCAUGGAAUUAGCGUCCCUGUUGUGACCACUCAUAGCUAUCAGGGGCAGGAAGUGAACAAAUCAUUAGUGAUACUUAGGGCAGACCGUACAGGAAAAUGGGAUUUGAACGGUAAUGAGUUGUACCUAAACUCUGCUUUGACCAGAGCAAAAUAUCAUUGCGAAAUAAUUAUAUAUGGCUAUCCCAUUUCUAAUAUUCAAACGGUGAGUGAUUUGUGUCAUUACGUAGGUGGAGUGCAGCCAGAUAAUACGAUAAACGAAGAAUUGGAACCAGAAAAUGACGACCCUGAACAAGAUAUGAAUGAUGAAUUACCUACAGUGUUGACAAUACGAACAAUGCAUACAUUAAGGAAAAGUGACAUUGACAAGUUGAACGAAUUAAGUAUUACUCAGCAAGGUCAUUCUGUAAGUUAUUUUUAUGUACAAAAGAAUCAUAUUAGUUGCGUUUUAAAAUUCAUGGGAAAAACCGUUGCUGAAAUAGUCAACAUUGAUGGAAACGUCACCAUAACAGGACCAUGGUACUACAAACGUAAAAUAAUGGACAAGUUAGACCAAAAAUUGGAUUUGAAUGAUAUUAGUGGUAUAACCAUUUGUCCCAAAGGUACUAAAUUGGUUAAGAUUCGUACAAAUCAAAGGUUUAGAAAUAAAGUGAGAGAAUUAGCAUGGAUUGUAGAUAAGUGUCAUGAUGGAAAAUUGAUAAUUAAAAUCAAUGAUGUUACUAUAACUGUUACUAAACAUGUAGGUUGUCCAUUGUUCAGCGGAUUGAAAUUCAGGACAGAAAAUGAAUAUUUUGAGAUUUGCCAAUUGAAAUAUUUUAGUUUAAGGAGAGAAUUAGUGAUACAUAGAUCAAAAAAUUAUCGAGAGUUGAGUUGCAUUAUGAAAUGGUUAGAUAUAGAUUUUAACUCUAUCAAUUAUGAUGAUGAAGUUGAAAUUGGUUGGUUGACUUCGUUAUCAGGACACAAUAUUAGCUCAUGGAGACAAUAUAAAGAACGACUAUCAAGUGUCAGCAUGUGGUUCAUUAAUGCUUGCUUUGAUAGUACAUCAGUGAAAUGUAAGGAAUUGAGUGAUCGAAAUACCACGAUUUUUAAUAGGUAUAUGUUAACGGAAAAGAGGGAUCUGAUAAAAUUUCAUCAAUCACCGAUAAAACAUGAUAAAUUGAUAUACAAAACAAUAGAAAGAAGAGCUUUGAAUUUGUGGAAAACUGAGAAUGUUUAUGAGUUGUUCAAUAAAGAAAACUUGAUUCUAACAGUUAAAGAUAGUUCCGAUGAAAUACUUUGGAGACAAUUCGUUAGGGAGUGUUUAUUAGACAUGGAUCGGAGUGAUCUGAUCAAGGGAACCUCAGGUUUAAAUCUUGAAAUUCCAGGAUUAUAUUUGCCGCUGGAGAAACACUAUCAAUUGGGAACCGAAUUACGACAGAUUGUUGGCACUAAUAUUAAUAAAUUAUUAUUGCUGACUAGUCCGGGAAUUCAUGAUAGCAUAAGGUUGAAUAUAAAUGACAAUGAUGAGUUCAAGACAUCCAUAUUAGCAAGAUAUCCUAAAUUAACUAUUCAAGUUGGCAAUUAUAACUUGUUGAAUACAGGGAUGGUUGGGGUAUUGGAACAAAUCAUGUUGAAUACGUACGCUAAGACCAGUAAAAAUAACCCACAAAUAGUCGUCUAUGGCGGCAUGAGUCCCAGUUGUGUAGCAGUGCAAGGCAAAUACUACGUGUCGCUAGAUAUACCUGAUAAUAACUCCUCAACAAAGCGUUAUUAUGAUAGGGAAAUGCCCAUAGUGAAUGCUCUUGUUUAUAGAUUCAAUGAGGGGAGAGAUGAUGAACACAAAGUUAGCUUAAAUUAUGACGGUUCAUAUGCAAGACGGUAUUUAUUAGGUGUUAGUUUAAACCACGUCACAGAAGAGUAUAUCCAACAAAAAUUGAACAAUUGCGAUUAUUUAUAUGGUUGGUCAUAUAGAAUUGAUAAUCAGUCAAGUUGGUAUUCCCUCAGCACUAGAGGUGAUAAAAUAUACUACCAUGGAGAGGAAUAUUCCAAUCAAAUUAAAAAUCAAUUAGCUAUCAAGAUUGGUAAUGGAACUCCCUUAUGGGUAGAUUAUGAUAAACAAGAGUAUGUGGAAACAACUAUCGUUAAUGAAUUAUUUGGUAUGUACUUGGUCAGAUUCACUAAACGUAAAUUUCCUAAUAGUUACAAAGUUACUAGAGUGGCAUUUACAGAGCAAGGUUACAACAGCACGACAAACAUAGAAGUACCAUGGAUCAACACACAAAUUGUGGAUAUAAUGAGAACCAGAACAUUUUUGACUACUAAGAAAUUGACGAUAAAUAAUAACUUGUUAAGAAAUUUACUUCUCAGGUUAAUUACGGGCGAUGACUCUGAAGAUAGCUUACUGGCAUAUGCUAGAACUGUCCAGUCCACUCAGGUCAUCACUGAACGAAGCAUACAAGAUUUGUCAACUGUUGAUUUGCAUAUCACUAUGAGCACGACGUGGUUUGCUUUAUAUGUACACCACAAUUAUUUAUAUAAAUUGGAACAUAUUAUAUCAUUAAUCAAUUUAGGAGAAGAUAAGGAGAUUCUGUUCACAUUAUUACAGCAAAUAGUACCAGGUAUCAUGAAAUGGGUAGGAAUUAUUGCGGAAAAUACUUCUGAGUUCAUCGAAACCUGCAUGAAAUAUUUGCAAUUUGAUAGGAGUUUCCUUACCAAUUUGAGAGAAGUUUCUGAGAAGAUUAAAAAUACAAAUUGGGCUGUUCAGGGAUCUAGAGGUAAAAUUUGGAACUUUUCCUUUAAGAAGUUGAUUGAUAAUGACAUAGCAACGCUGGACAAUGGUGCACCCCCCGAUAACGAUGGAGACGAUAAAGUCGACCAAAGUAAAUCGGAGGAUCAUGUCUCUGAUAAUGAAUCCUUCACUACGUGUGAUAGUACCAAUAGUGAAUUGGAACACAUAGAUGUAUCAAGUGAGAGUGAUACAACAGAACACCAUGAUACUGGUAAUAUUAAUGACGAACCUGUUAUUGUUAAUGCUUUAGCAAUGCCCGACACUAAGAACCAAAAUCUCAAUAAUAAAAUGGACGUUGACGUCAAACAAAACACCACAAAUCUGACCUCAAGUGAACAAACCAUCUCUCAAAUCGAAAACAAAAAUGCAGUUAGUACAGUUGAUAAGGAUGUAUUAGUCCCAUUUAAAGAAAUUAUAAAGCCGAUCACAAACUUACCAACACCUACGUGCAUAAAAGGUGUUUGUGGUGAGGUACCAUUAAUUAUAUGGAGUUAUUGGCAGGGUUCAGAAAUAAAUCAUUUUCUAACCACAUGUAUCAGGUCAUGGCAGGAAUACAACCCUGAGAUGAGAAUUGUGAUACUUACUGAUGCAAACUUAGGGAAUAUGCAUAACAUAUUAAAUUUUGACGAUAUGAAGCAAAUGUCUCAUCAAGCAAAAUCAGAUUGGUUAAGAUGUUAUUGUUUAGCUAAUUACGGAGGAAUUUGGUUAAAUUUAAGUAGUAUAUGUGCUGGUUCACUGACUCCUUUAAUUACUGCAACCACCAAUCAUGAGAGUGGGCUUUUUCAAUUAGGCAUUCCUGGCGGUGUAAACAAAAUGAAAUACGAAAUGGGAGUGAUGAUAAGUACCACGAAAAACAAAAUACUACACGAGUGGUUCAAAUUGGUUAACGAGUUUGUCAUCCUUUCUAAUGGUGAUACUACAGUUAUGUUGGAUUUGAUCAAGGAUAGAUUCAAAACUGUUGCACAUACAUCAAUAUUGGCAGUCGGUGACUAUGGCAAGUUUUAUUUGUGGGUAUAUGUGCUACAAAGAAUAGUUUUAGAUUUUCUUAAGACUGAACCAUGUCACAUCAACGCUGAGAACCAAAAAUGUCUAUUGUAUAUGGGUAAAUACGCAAUAGAACCUACUAAAACUUGGAUCACUUUAUCCACUAAAUCUUGGCAGGAUUUAGGCAUAACCGUUCCAGUUGUAAAUCUGAUCAGCUCAAUGAGGAAAAAUGUUAUUGACAAUUAUAGUGAUAAAUUCGAAAAGGGAAGCGUCAUUGCAAUGCUUAACAACUGUGGACAUCUAAAAUAUAAUCCAUUAUCUUUAUCUCAUUUAAUACCAAAGGAGUUGAAGAUAACUGAAUCAAAACCUUCUUCACACAGAAUGAAAAAGCAUAAUGUUGAUUACAUUUUAAUAGCUUACGGGAGUUUCGGUGAUUUCAUACCAAUACUAAACAUUUAUAAAUAUUUAACAGGCCGCGGAUCUAAUUAUGUAUUUAUGAUCCACCAAGAUUUUGCAAAUUAUAUAAAUAACGAUGACUUUUAUGAUUUGAGAAUAAACACAAAAGAAACAUUUAAGUUGGCCAUGGAUCUAUCCGACAAAGGAUGGUCUAGUUGUCUCUCUGGUAGCAUAAAUCAACUGAAAGAAAUGAUGAUUGCAAUGAAUGACAUGGUAUACAUGUAUAAAAACACACAAUGUACCAUCGUUACAACACACUCUUUUUACUUGUACAAAAAUUAUAGCCAAGUUUUUGGCAAAGAGUGGAUCGUAUUGGAGACAUUUCCUUUACAAAUGAUGUCCCCAGUUGACAGGUCAAGAAGUUGGGUAGAACAAUUCAUUGGGAAGUUUUAUGAUAUUGACAUGCCUUUGCCUAUUCCAAUUGGCCAAGGUAUUCCGAAAAAUCAGAGACCAGUAAUAUCAAUGACUAAUUGUUUGCCUUGGAUGGUUUCCAAUUAUAAAAUCAAAAACCCUAUUGGACCUUUAAAUCUAUUAAGUGGUUACCAAAAACCUCUGAAUAUCAAGAUUCCUAUGAAUAGUAUUUUUAUCAAUUUCGGCAGUUGUACCAAUCAAAAUGACGUUGAGUAUAUGUAUAAGUUAGCUAAAGACAUUUGCACUUUAGGCUAUGACACAAUAUUGUAUGAUAAGCUGCAUGAGUCUAGGGUAUCCAAUGACAUUCUUCAGAUUGUCAACGAAUGUCCUGGUAGGAUAAUAUUACUGAAACAUUUUAAUUGCAUUGAAAUGCAAGGAAAAGUUUUCUUAACUAUUUGUCACGGAGGACAUGGUACCGUGAUGGAUAGUUUAUAUAGUGAAAUGUAUAUAGUGAUUCAACCGAAAAUAUUCGACCAAUUUCACUGGGUAAAAAUAUUAGAGCAAUUUGGAAUAGGUUGUGCUUUAAAGAAAGAUUACAAUAAAGAAGAUUUGUCGUCCGUGAUAACGUUGGCUAAAGCAAAUCAUAACAAAUUAAAAGAUGUAAAGGCCAAUGUAAGCAUUAACAAUGUAGAUUUGAUUAGGCAAUUAAAUCCACGCAAAGAUUUACAUGGCAGAAUAUACCCGAAUGCGUUAAAGCAAGCAGGGUUGAUACAAAGCAUUGAAUUUAUAAAUGAUAGAUUUAGUGAGAACUUACCCAUUGGUUAUCACAUACUAAAUGACAUUGUUGACGUAGAAUUAUUUAAUCCCCCUACACAAAGUCACUGUGUGAGAGAGUGUAUAAAUUAUGCUUUUAGCACCAAUACUAAAGAUGCCAUACUGGCAUGUUCUAGUUUAAGUGUGUCCAAUUUGUUUAAACCUGGAGUUACAGAAUCAGAACUAGAAGACGGUCUAUUGUCCAUAGGCGUUAACUAUUGCUUGGUAAAAAGAAAGAAUGGACGUUUGAUGAACGCCAGACCAGGUCCUGUCUUAUGUUUAAAAAUAGGAGACGGAGGUAUAUCACAGCAUUGUAUACUAAUCAAAAUCAUAAAUUAUGGCAAAUCUAUGUCUCUAAGUGGUACUCCUGCAGUGAUCUCGAUCAAGGACAAUGAAUUAGAAAAUCAUAUCACUAUGAGGUUGGCUAACAACACCAGUCUAGAGUUAUGCAACCCCCACAUAAUGAUGAGUCAACUACCAAAUAAGUGGAUCAAAAACUUUAUGGCUCGCACAAGAUCUCUAAGCCUGCAUAGCUUAAGUACAAGACAGCAGUUACAUGUCACUAUUACUUCUAUGUGCAAAUCAGGAAUUACGUACAUAGGUGACACACAUCAUGGUGACAAGUCUUUAGGAGUUGGUUACUGUAGUUGUAAAGAAGGUUGGCAAUUGGUGAAUUUUGAAAUAUUUAUGAACAAAUUGAUUGUAUACACAGAUAUUCCCUGUGAAAACCCUGGUGUGAUAAUCAAUCUACAUUUAGAUUAUCCUGAAGAGAGAUUGCACAGAACAAUUGUCAAAGAUCAUGAACGUUGGGUAAGUUUGAACAAACCAACAGUCAAUUUUAAUGAAAUUAAUAAACCAUUAAUCAGAUCUAAUGAGCUUGUAUCCCCUCAUUUAAGCAAGUUCAACUUAAUAGUAGCAGAUUUUGACAACAGAACUCAUCAUAACGGUGAUGACAUAGGGUAUUUAAAGAGAGCUAACAAGUUAAUUAUUUAUAGUGAGCCCGCUAUCACUUUGAAUGACCUACUAACUACACACAACAAACCUUAUAACCGCUUAAUCAUUAAAAUGGGUCAUGUAAAAUAUUGCCAUGAAUUCAAUUGGAGUAACAGCGCUAGACUAUUUUUAUCUUUGACAAAUGGUAUUUUUGAAGGAAACAGUAUUAUAACAGAUAAUAGAUUGUCAGAUGAUAUCAAAACUUAUUUAAUUCAGUAUUAUAAAAUAAUUGGAUUAAAAGUGCACGCAAAGUUGUCUGUCUAUGAGAAUCGUCCCGUGAUUAUAGCUGUUUCAGAUCUGAUUGGAACUUUAAAUCAGAUCCCUGAUGUAGAACCAGAAUUAAUCAGUCAAUUGACAGAAUUACUAAAGAAAGAAGACACCGUCAAAUUGACAUGGUUGACUCACAAUAACUGUAAAUUAAAACAGAGAGAUUGUAUAAUUCAAAUUUCUGAGGACAUGAUAAGCAUACCCUGCUGUGAAAUGAUCAUAAUUAAAAGUUUGAAAGGUGGUGCAGAUGCAGAAAACAGAAUAGGUUGGAAGUUGGAUUCCUCCAACUAUUCGUUCAAAAAUGAAGAUAAAUGGAAUAUUAAACCUGCUUUGGAAAGGAAAAAUAUUCAAUCAAGUUGUAAGGAUGUCAUAGCAAUGAACACUAUGGUUAUAAAUAACGUUGCUGUUAGUCCUGUAAUAAGACAUAUAACUCAUUAUCAAAAUUACGAACCAAGUUUAGAUAUCUACAUAGCUCCUUAUACAAUGAAUUAUACUGCCAGCACGAUAGAACCAUUGUAUGAUAUGCCUGAUAUAGCCUCCAUGCAAUUGUGGUCAGAUACGGAUCUGACUGACUGGUUGAACAUGUACGCGCCAUCCAAUAAAACUACCAUUAAGAGUCGUGAAUUACCUGGAAAAAUUAUAAACAUGGAGAAAAUAACCAUGACUAAAUAUCCUAUUAAAUCAAGACCGGUAUUAACCAAAAUAUGUUUUGAAGAAGGCGGGUCCAUAACUGGUAGGUUAUUUUCUGUCGUUAAUCUGCGCACUGUCACUCCAGAUCCUGAGAAAAUACUUUGGGAUGUUUGUAAUGCCUAUUUUCAACCUGGUUGGGAACACAAUAUACCACAUUUUAAAAAUGAUUUGUUGAUUAUAACACCAGAAGACGUUAAAAACUGGGUGGAAGAGAAUAAGGAUUGUUUUGGCGUGGAAAAAGAGUUAAAUGAUCUAUUAGCUGGGGAAUUGUUAAUAAAACCUAUAAACGAUGUGAACGUACAUUUAAAAUUAGAAUCAUUAUUGAAAGAAAAACACAUAUCUUUGAUGAAAGAGCAACAGGCCAGAAUAAUAGUGUGGCAAAGGAAGGCAGUUUGUGGUCUGUUUGCUAAACUUUUUGUGAGAUGUAAGGAAAGAUUGAAAACCCUACUAUUGGACCACAUACUCUAUGUAGAUGGACUAAGACCAGAUGAAAUAUCAGCCAAACUGAGACAAAUAUCCAAUGUGUUUGGUUUCUUCGAAAAUGAUUUAACUAAACAAGACAGACAGACUGAUAAACCAAUACUUGAAGUGGAAAUGUUGAUGUACUUGAUGUUAGGUGUUCACCCUAAUAUUAUCGCUAGCUGGCGUGCAAGCCAUGAAGAUUGGAGAUUUAAAUCAACAAACUACUGGGGCAAGAGUACAGCCAUGAGACUCACUGGACAAGCUACCACAGCCCUUGGAAAUUGUAUCACAAACAUGCAAGUUCACUCGAAGUUUGUCAUUAAGAAUAAGUACUGGUUAAAAUUUGCUUUAUUUCUUGGCGAUGACAUGUGUAUGGGUUUUUCACACAAACCAAACACACAACAUUUACGCCAGGACAUAGCUUGCAAAUUUAAUAUGCAAAGCAAGGACUCAUGGGUACUCAAUGGGGCUACUUUUUGUAGUAUGGUAGUUUACAAAACAAAUGAUGACGUAGUUGAAAUUGGUCCUGAUGUAGUCAGGAUGAAAUUCAGGUUUGAAGUUACUAAUGGUGUGCAUGAAGCAACGAAAGAAAACUUAUUAAUGCGGAAAGCUUCAUAUUUGAUGAUGUUAGGGAAAACACCAGAAGUGGAUCAACUGGUGAAGGAAUUACAACUACCCAUAACUCCAAUACAUUGGUACAAUUAUCAUAUGAUGUUGCAAGGCGUUGCUGAUAAAUGGGGUAUGAAUGUGCAACAAGUGGAAGGGUAUUAUCACAAUCUACUUCACAUGAUAUCGAGAGAAAACAUAUAUAUUCACAGCUUCAGAGGCUUUGGCAAUCGUUGAACAUGAUUAAUUAUUUUUAAAAGGGCGGGGAUCCCUCCCCAACCCCGG